rnacentral:rRNA from 1 species
AGAGUUUGAUCCUGGCUCAGGACGAACCCUUUCGGCGUGCCUAACACAUGCAAGUCGAGCGAAUGAAGUUCCUUCGGGAACGGAUUUAGCGGCGGACGGGUGAGUAACACGUGGGCAACCUGCCUCAUAGAGGGGAAUAGCCUUCCGAAAGGGAGAUUAAUACCGCAUAAGAUUGUAGUACCGCAUGGUACAGCAAUUAAAGGAGCAAUCCGCUAUGAGAUGGGCCCGCGGCGCAUUAGCUAGUUGGUGAGGUAACGGCUCACCAAGGCGACGAUGCGUAGCCGACCUGAGAGGGUGAUCGGCCACAUUGGGACUGAGACACGGCCCAGACUCCUACGGGAGGCAGCAGUAGGGAAUAUUGCACAAUGGGGGAAACCCUGAUGCAGCAACGCCGCGUGAGUGAUGACGGCCUUCGGGUUGUAAAGCUCUGUCUUCAGGGACGAUAAUGACGGUACCUGAGGAGGAAGCCACGGCUAACUACGUGCCAGCAGCCGCGGUAAUACGUAGGUGGCGAGCGUUGUCCGGAUUUACUGGGCGUAAAGGGAGCGUAGGCGGAUUUUUAAGUGAGAUGUGAAAUACUCGGGCUUAACCUGAGUGCUGCAUUUCAAACUGGAAGUUUAGAGGGCAGGAGAGGAGAAGGGAAAUUCCUAGGUGUAGCGGUGAAAUGGUUAGAGAUUAGGAAGAACACCGGGGGGCGAAGGCGUUUCUCUGGACUGUAACUGACGCUGAGGCUCGAAAGCGUGGGGAGCAAACAGGAUUAGAUACCCUGGUAGUCCACGCCGUAAACGAUGAUAACUCGCUGUCGGCGAUACACAGUCGGUGGCCAAGCGAAAGCAUUAAGUUAUCCACCUGGGGAGUACGACCGCAAGGUUGAAACUCAAAGGAAUUGACGGGGGCCCGCACAAGCGGAGGAACAUGUGGUUUAAUUCGAUGAUACGCGAGGAACCUUACCCGGGCUCGAACGGUGCAUGAAUAUACGAGAGAUUGUAUAGUCCUUCGGGACAUGUAUCGAGGUGCUGCAUGGUUGUCGUCAGCUCGUGCCGUGAGGUGUCGGCUUAAGUGCCAUAACGAGCGCAACCCUUGUCAUUAGUUGCCAUCAGGUCAAGCUGGGGACUUUAAUGAGACUGCCACCGUAAGGUGUGAGGAAGGGGGGGAUGACGUCAAAUCAGCACGGCCCUUAUGUCCGGGGCGACACACGUGUUACAAUGGGAGGUACAGAGGGCAGCUAUCCGGUGACGGAAUGCUAAUCUCCAAAACCUUUCUCAGUUCGGAUUGGAGUCUGCAACUCGACUCCAUGAAGGUGGAUUCGCUAGUAAUCGCGCAUCAGCCAUGGCGCGGUGAAUACGUUCCCGGGCCUUGUAAACACCGCCCGUCAAG